rnacentral:misc_RNA from 1 species
UCUCCGUUGGUGAACCAGCGGAGGGAUCAUUACAGAGUUGCAAAACUCCCAAACCAUUGUGAACGUUACCUAUCCCGUUGCUUCGGCGGGCGGCCCGGGCCCCGCGCCCGGCGCCCCCCGGCCCCCCGUGGGCGCCCGCCGGAGGUAAACCAAACCCUUGAAUUGCAUGGCCUCUCAGUGUCUUCUGUACUGAAUAAGUCAAAACUUUCAACAACGGAUCUCUUGGUUCUG